rnacentral:rRNA from 1 species
UCCCUUAGUAGCGGCGAGCGAACAGGGAAGAGCCCAGCGCCGAAUUCCGCGUCUCAAAGGGCGUUUGGAACAUGUGGCGUUUAGGAGGAAUCUCUCCGAGGGCAGACGGUGUCGCAAGUCCCCCUGAACGGGGCUGUGAUCCAGAGCGGGUGCGAGGCCCAUAGCUGGUACCGUCUCCUUUGGGUGUCCCCUCCUUGGAGUCGGGUUGCUUGGGAGUGCAGCCCUAAUUGGGUGGUAAACUCCACCUAAGGCUAAAUACGUCCGUGAGACCGAUAGCAAACAAGUACCGUGAGGGAAAGUUGCAAAGAACUUUGAAGAGAGAGUUCAAGAGUACGUGAAACCGCUCAGAGGCAAACGGGUGGGCCCACGAAAGCCGAAGGCGGGGGGAUUCAGUCGAGAGGACGGUGGGGCAGGACUGGCUGGUUGGACGGACCGUGCCAGGCCGGGUCAGUUCCCGAGAUCUGCCGCCUUUCGACGCAUUUCCCCCUGCUUAGUAGGACGCCGCAACCGGUUGGCGCUGCAGCCAUAAGGGAGAGUAAAUGGAAGGUAGCCAGUGAGUUCUUCUUCGGAGGCGCGAGCUGGUCCUAAGCCGACUCUCCUGGUGCUUGUGGCCCGACCGUGGUCGUGAGUCCCUCAACGGGAUGUCGCCGAGCCCUCUGACUGGAGCGGGAGAAGUGGCAGGCUGCUUUCCGCGGAARAAAUCGAUCGCUUCACGCGUGCAGUGGGCGAUCUCCGGAGGUAGCUGCUGGUGCGUUUUUCUCCUGCGCUGGGCACAGGCAGUUGGCGGCGAGUAGGUCGGUCACCCACCCGACCCGUCUUGAAACACGGACCAAGGAGUCUAACAUGUGCGCGAGUCAUUGGGUCUUGAACAAGCCCAAAGGCGCAAUGAAAGUGAAGACCAGCACUGAAGCUGGUGGAGUUGGGAAACUGUGUCACUGAAGAUGCAGUUGCACCAACGGCCCGUCCCGUCCGCAUUGUCGGUGGGGCGGAGCGAGAGCGUACACGUUGGGACCCGAAAGAUGGUGAACUAUGCCUGGGCAGGACGAAGCCAGAGGAAACUCUGGUGGAGGUCCG